rnacentral:ncRNA from 1 species
GACAGCUAGGGGUGUGAAUGGGAUCAGAUACUCCAGUAGUCCUGGUCAUAAAUGAUAGAUACUAGGCGCCAUGCGUAUCGACCCGUGCAGUGCUAUAGCUAAUGCAUAGUAUGU